rnacentral:misc_RNA from 1 species
AGCUGAUCCUCGAGGCGGCGAUCGCUCCAAUCUUGCGGCACCACUGACGACGGCGCAGGAGCAGCCUCGCGAAGAACGGAAGCAGAAUCACUUGAAGAGACGCAACACGAACGAGGAGGAGAAUGAGGCGUCGUCUUUUUCGUAGUUGAGGCCAUUGCAGGGGGUUCGCGAGCUCGCCAAUUCCACCAAGGUAAGUCUCUAAACAAUCUACUGACAUACAGCAAUU